rnacentral:rRNA from 1 species
AAGCCUGAUGCAGCGACGCCGCGUGAGGGAUGACGGCCUUCGGGUUGUAAACUCUUUCAGCAGGGCGAAGCGUAAGUGACGGUACCUGCAGAAGAAGCGCCGGCCAACUACGUGCCAGCAGCCGCGGUAAGACGUAGGGCGCGAGCGUUGUCCGGAUUUAUUGGGCGUAAAGAGCUCGUAGGCGGCUUGUCGCGUCGGCUGUGAAAACCCGUGGCUCAACUGCGGGCUUGCAGCCGAUACGGGCAGGCUAGAGUUCGGUAGGGGAGACUGGAAUUCCUGGUGUAGCGGUGAAAUGCGCAGAUAUCAGGAGGAACACCGGUGGCGAAGGCGGGUCUCUGGGCCGAUACUGACGCUGAGGAGCGAAAGCGUGGGGAGCGAACAGGAUUAGAUACCCUGGUAGUCCACGCUGUAAACGUUGGGCGCUAGGUGUGGGGGCCUCUCCGGUUCUCUGUGCCGUAGCUAACGCAUUAAGCGCCCCGCCUGGGGAGUACGGCCGCAAGGCUA